AGGUCAGAUGUCGAUGAUGAAGGCGAUCCAGAUUUUCCCAUGUCAACAGAAGAUGGGGAGACAGCCAUGUCAUUAGAUUUAGAAGUGGAAGAUGGAGCUGAGUCAAUUGAUGAUGACAGCAGUGGAGAAAGUGAAUCUGAAACAGAUAGUGGAGAAGAGGAUGUUCACAUUAAGGAGGAAGAAGAAAUCAUCAGUGAGAUCCCAUGUAAAAUAGUGUCCGCUGAACCAAGUAUAGAG